AAUCCCGUCUAGGGAAUGGUUGCACACUUCGAAACCUCGUGAAGGUGGAAAAUGCAGCCUGUGUCUGGUCUGAUUUAUCAAGCAUGCAUUGAAUUAUGAAAUAAGAGACGUCAAAUCAAAACCGGCUUCGUGUUCUCCGUCAAUCGGUGUAUCUGGAUGAGAACAUGCAACUGAUUAUUGCGACUCUGUACAAACAGAAUCAGAGCAACCUGAACGAGAGUGCCUUAUACGUUUCUAACUCCCGCCAUUUGAUCUGUCAACAGAAUUUCAUGAAGGCAUGAAAGAUGUCAUCACUUAGCGAUGCGGCAAUUGUAUCAAGCAAAGUUGCAGCAGAAUCUUAAGUACCUUGCAGCCAUCGCAGAUGCGCAACUUGGAAUUCCUUUCCUGCCACCCAUGCAACCGCCACAGCAUUAUACUCAGCAACUCCAAGUAGCAGCACAAAAACACAUCACCGAGGUCCCAGCAGUCCCACCACAACCAACAACUGAUGAUCCUGAAGGCAACGUUGGGUUGAUAUGAGGGGAGGUGAUGACAGCCAAUCGGCAGGAAAUUUGUCAGAGUAUGGGAAGGCUGAGGAAUCACGGUAUUGGACUGCUACACAAACUUGAAAACAAGGAUUAAUGCUUCAAAAGCGGAAAUUGAGUGACUGGAGAGAACUUGGAGGCUUCUUGCUUCAAAUGCUCUGAUUAAGGAAAUUACAAAUUUCUUCGUCAAGAUGUUCCCUAGUCUCUCUUAUAUGGAUCUAAGUAGUCCGAUGACCUCUACUACUCGGGGGACAUUCUAACCGAAUUGGGCCCAGAAUGUGUUGUCAUGUGCAUCCGCAUCUCCGAUGCGCCGUUUCUGAAAGUUUGUGCUGAACCUCACGACAUUACAAAACUCCUUUUACUGGUUUGAAUUGAGGCUGCAUUUGAGUAGA